GGGCAAGUCACUAAAGCCAGCCCAGCUCUAAGGAGAAGGGCAUUAGAUUCUACCUCUCAACGGGAGAAGUAGCAAGAAUUUGUGGCUAUGAUUAACUUAGAACGUGAGAGAAUGGAAGAAAUUUCUACCCAGUGGCAGUGGGCCACCUCCACAAACAUCCUUUCACUUCUCCGCUCCUUCUCCAGUAGCAGGAAGGAGACUGGAGAGCUGCAAGGCAGGUCUUGGACACAUCCUCCCAACCCCUCUCAGAGACAGAGGGGCACUGCGUCUAUCCGUGGAGACCUGGGGACCCAGGGCCUUCCCUGUGAGUACCUUUCUCUGAAACGAAGAGCUUUCUCUGACCUCUCCCGCUAAGCUUCCAGCCCAUCUCAUCUACAAACUCUUAUGCCUUUGGAGCUCUUCAAAAACUGGAAGUGCUCUUCCUACAGCAACGUAUUAGACUUGAUAAAAGUAUAUAAACAGAAGUUCUGAUAUUUUCUUCCCAAACUCCUUGGAUCAUUUUUCUCCUCCCUCCCCCACUGCCCUCAGUAUUACCAGUCACUUCAGAGACCAUAGCUCUUGCCAGCCAAGAGGUGAGACUCCUUGAAUGAAUUAAACCUGGUUAGUGCUGCCGACACUCAUGUUCCUGCUGGCUGGUGGUGCUGACUCUCGGGCUCAGGAAGGUAGAGAGACACCCAAAUAUCCUCCAAAAAUAACUGACAUGUUUGUGGAGGCAGCCGCUGUCUUCACUAUACUCACUACACUGGGCUUUUUCAGUUCUAGUCAUCUCCCUGCGUGGGAAACUGUCUAUGAACUAAUCUAUCUUCUAGGCCACUGGGUUGACUUUUUCUCAAAAUUUUGUUUAGCUGGGGUUCUUCCCUCCUCUCCCCAAAAAUCUAUUGCCUUUAGUUCUUCUCCUCAUCUAGUUAGUGUUCUGAUUUAAAAUAUAAACAUUGAAUUUAAGAGGACUUCCUGGUGCUGUUGGGUAGGUUU
rnacentral:lncRNA from 1 species